rnacentral:rRNA from 1 species
UACGUAGGGGGCUAGCGUUGUCCGGAAUCAUUGGGCGUAAAGCGCGCGUAGGCGGCCCAGUAAGUCCGUUGUAAAAGUCAAAGGCUCAACCUUUGAAAGCCGAUGGAUACUGCUGGGCUAGAGUCCGGAAAGACGGAGUGGAAUUCCUGGUGUAGCGGUGGAAUGCGCAGAUAUCAGGAGGAACACCGAUAGCGAAGGCAGCUCGCUGGGACGGUACUGACGCUGAGGCGCGAAAGCGUGGGGAGCGAACAGG